rnacentral:rRNA from 1 species
GACGAACGCUGGCGGCGUGCUUAACACAUGCAAGUCGAACGGAAAGGCCCUGCUUUUGCGGGGUGCUCGUGUGCCGAACGGGUGAGUAACACGUGAGUAACCUCCCCUUGUCUUUGUGAUAACUUCAGGAGACUGGGGCUAAUACCGGAUAGGAUCUCCUGCUCCAUGGUGGGGGUUGGAAAGUUUCGGCGGUUGGGGAUGGACUGGCGGCUUAUCAGCUUGUUGGUGGGGUAGUGGCGUACCAAGGCUUUGACGGAUAGCCGACCUGGGAGGGUGACCAGCGACCUGGGGACUGCGGGACGGCCCAGUCGGGUAUGUUAGGCAGCGGUGGAGAGCAUUGCACAAUGGGGGGAAGCGUGAUGCAGAGACGCCGCGUGCGGGAUGCCGGGCUUCGGGUUGUAAACCGCUUUCGCCUGUGACGAAGCGUGCGUGACGGUACUGGGUAAGGAAGCACCGGCUAACUACGUG